CUCCGGUCUAAAGCUGUUAAAUAUAGUCUCCUCCUUUACUGGGUUAAUUCCCUUUUUAUGUAUUUAAAUGUUUCUAUCAUAUCCCCCCCGUCUCGUCUUUCCUCCAAGCUAUACAUGUUAAAAUCCUUUAACAUUUCCUUGUUGGUUUGUAACAACAUGUGUGUGUAUCAGAGAUCCAUUUAUAAUAAAACAGAGGAACAUCUUACUUACAGAGCAUGACAGAUCAGCUAGAUGGGAACAUGGUACUUGGGCCAAAAUAAUUUAUUAGUUUGCUGAAGGAAGCAAUGCAAAUAGGGAACAGGAUACAUGCUGUCUUCAGAACAGAGAUUUAUUCACUUAUAAAAUACAGGGAGUGCAGAAUUAUUAGGCAAAUGAGUAUUUUGACCACAUCAUCC